AAAGGAUAGAGAAAGCUUGCUUUUUCUAGGCGUCGACCGGCGCACGGGUGAGUAACGCGUAUCCAACCUGCCCACCACUUGGGGAUAACCUUGCGAAAGUAAGACUAAUACCCAAUGAUAUCUCAAGAAGACAUCUGAAUGAGAUUAAAGAUUCAUCGGUGAUGGAUGGGGAUGCGUCUGAUUAGCUUGUUGGCGGGGUAACGGCCCACCAAGGCUACGAUCAGUAGGGGUUCUGAGAGGAAGGUCCCCCACAUUGGAACUGAGACACGGUCCAAACUCCUACGGGAGGCAGCAGUGAGGAAUAUUGGUCAAUGGGCGAGAGCCUGAACCAGCCAAGUAGCGUGCAGGAUGACGGCCCUAUGGGUUGUAAACUGCUUAUAUAAGGGAAUAAAGUGAGCUACGUGUAGCUUUUUGCAUGUACCUUAUGAAUAAGGACCGGCUAAUUCCGUGCCAGCAGCCGCGGUAAUACGGAAGGUCCGGGCGUUAUCCGGAUUUAUUGGGUUUAAAGGGAGCGUAGGCCGGAGAUUAAGCGUGUUGUGAAAUGUAGAUGCUCAACAUCUGCACUGCAGCGCGAACUGGUUUCCUUGAGUACGCACAAAGUGGGCGGAAUUCGUGGUGUAGCGGUGAAAUGCUUAGAUAUCACGAAGAACUCCGAUUGCGAAGGCAGCUCACUGGAGCGCAACUGACGCUGAAGCUCGAAAGUGCGGGUAUCGAACAGGAUUAGAUACCCUGGUAGUCCGCACGGUAAACGAUGGAUGCCCGCUGUUGGUCUGAAUAGGUCAGCGGCCAAGCGAAAGCAUUAAGCAUCCCACCUGGGGAGUACGCCGGCAACGGUGCAACUCAAAGGAAUUGACGG
rnacentral:rRNA from 1 species